AGAUUGAUAAUAUCUUCUCUGGAUUAUUAACUUUUUGUGCAAUGUAAUCUUCAAGUGAUCAUAAUAAAAUAUAAAUUCUGUAAUACUGAUUAUAGAAAAUAUAUUCAUAAGAAUAUGCUUAUUACUUUUAAAAGUAACAUAUAUUGCACAAUUAUUGUUUUUUUGGUUAAAAUAAUAUAAUCUUUGUGUCUAAUAUAUUAUUUACCCCUCUUGAAUAAUUUUGUCCCAUCGAUUAUUAACGAUCGUGAGACUGGAAGGUCAAGGGGAUUCGGAUUCGUCACCUUCAAGGACGAGAAAUCCAUGAGAGAUGCUAUUGAAGAGAUGAUCGGGAAAGAGCUUGAUUUGUGAAUGAGGCUCAGUCCAGAGGAAGCGGCAGCGGUGGAGGAGGCCGUGGUGGCGGCAGUGGUGGUUACCGUAGCGGUGGCGGUUAUGAGAGACGUAGCGGUGGUUAAAAGAGACGUAGCGGUGGUUACAGAUCUGGUGGAGGCGGCGGUGGCCGAGGUGGAUACGGUGGUUGCCGUGAAAGCGGUAGUGGUUACAAAGGAGGUGAUGGUGGCUACGGAGGAAGCGGUGACGGUGGCAAGGGCUGGUAAUUGAAGAUAGUGUGGUUUGUUGCUGCUCUGUAUUUGGUUUAGAUUUGGUUUGUUGGUUGAUAAUUGAGUUUCAGAGUCGCAACAUUUAAGUCAUGAUGUUUUGGUUUGUGACGUUUCAUCCAAGAGUCACAAGUUUUAAGAGACAUAAAUUAUUAUGAUGUAGUGUCUGAUUGUUCUCUAUAUAAAACAGUUUUGUUGUUAAUGUAUGUGACAAGUUUUAGUUGAUCGAAGUUUAUAUUUGUUUU